rnacentral:rRNA from 1 species
AUUGAACGCUGGCGGCAGGCUUAACACAUGCAAGUCGAGCGGAGAGAGGUAGCUUGCUACUGAUCUUAGCGGCGGACGGGUGAGUAAUGCUUAGGAAUCUGCCUAUUAGUGGGGGACAACAUUUCGAAAGGAAUGCUAACACCGCAUACGUCCUACGGGAGAAAGCAGGGGAUCUUCGGACCUUGCGCUAAUAGAUGAGCCUAAGUCGGAUUAGCUAGUUGGUGGGGUAAAGGCCUACCAAGGCGACGAUCUGUAGCGGGUCUGAGAGGAUGAUCCGCCACACUGGGACUGAGACACGGCCCAGACUCCUACGGGAGGCAGCAGUGGGGAAUAUUGGACAAUGGGCGGAAGCCUGAUCCAGCCAUGCCGCGUGUGUGAAGAAGGCCUUAUGGUUGUAAAGCACUUUAAGCGAGGAGGAGGCUACUUUAGUUAAUACCUAGAGAUAGUGGACGUUACUCGCAGAAUAAGCACCGGCUAACUCUGUGCCAGCCGCCGCAGUAAAAC